GGAUGCAGGGACGGAGCCAGGAUUUGAACAUAGGGGGGGCGAAAGAGAUAACUGUCUUUUUUUACCCCAAAAAGAGAUAACCGUCUUAUUUUACCCCAAAAAGAGAUAAUUGUCACACACAUAAUAAUAUGUAUAUCAAGUCUCACGUAAAAUGUCAAAUGUAUACUUUGCAACAGUUGCACAAGUAUUAAUUAAUGUAUAAAAAUAGCACAUGUUUUGCAACUGUCAAUGUAAAUUAGCUCUAUGAUUACCUAUAUGAUCAUAAGAUUAGCAAGUUGAAUUUGGAUUUUCAGUACAAAGAGUUUGAACAAGAAGCAGAUGGCUUGAAAGUAGCAAUAUGUUAUUUUCUUUCUAUUUAUUUUUUGUGUAGAGAAGUACAGCUAAACAGAGAUAAAAGAUAAGUAUAUUAAAUUAGAUCUAUAUCUAUCACCGAGAACACAUGUUACUGCAACUUCAGAAUUGCUACUAACUAAUGCAUUAGGGAUCACCGUAUCAGGCCAGAUCAAUAAUACGUUGAUGUCAAAAAGUAUAUAUUAAUACCAGUCUGAUUAAUACUAUGGUUAUACCUAGAGAAACGAUCUAAUGCUGUCAACUGAGAUGAGCGGCCGCAAUCAAGUUUGGGUGGAGAAAAGAUACAACGAUCCAUGUGGCUGAUCGCCACAAGCGGCCGCGAUAUUGGGAAUUCAGGGUCAAAUCAUGUGAGCAAGCUGUUAAUAUCUCUAAUUCUAGAAUCGCUCCUUUUAUGGUUUGAAAGACACAACCAAAUCUAAUGCUGGAAAUAAAAACUAAACCUUGUUUCCUCGUUAGGUAGCUCAUCCAUCCAUGAGGCCGGCCGGACAGAAUGAGCUGCUGGAUCGACACAAUGACACUUUCAUGUCGCCUUCCCUUCUGGAUGGAUAGAUUAGACAGAAGAUCUAGCAGGCGGCCGACGGCCGGCGCGAUCUCUGGAGCAGUUCUUUUAGGUUGGAAUCGAAGGGAUUAGUGGGUACUGCUUCGUAGCCUGGCCCCUUCGCUUUCAUGAUGGGCUAUGUUUCCUUUUUAUUUUUCUGGGAUUUGGGCCUUUAGGCUGCAAUCAACUGAUCACCAUUACAUGGGCCCUCGCUGGCUAUGGGAAGCACAAAUCACACAGGGGGGGCGAAGCAAGCCACGUACACUUGCGUAGCCAACAAAAUUAGCGACCAACUGAUCGCUAUUAAGGUGCGGCACGAUCGUUAGGGGGGGUCUCGCCCCCCCUCGUCCCCCCUUGAAUCCGUCCCUGGAUGGAUGGAUCAUGGACGCAUCACCCCCUACCUUUUCUCCCACACUUGCUAUGCUCACACUUGCUACUAGUAAGAACUCCAUUAAAACUG
rnacentral:lncRNA from 1 species